CAGAAGCAGGGAGGAACCUUCCUGAAGCAUUGAGUCAGGUACUUUGGCUCUAGCCAAGGUUAAGAAACUGCAGCUUUAGCAGGUUUUCUUCCUUCUGGGUGUUCUCUUAAACCAGCAAACCUGGUGGCAAAAACUGCACACUGAUGGUAAUAUAGGGAUAUCUUUCUGAAUAAAAUGACUGGCUGUGUUUUAAUCAAGCAGAAAUUAAGAGUUCAGAGGUAAGUGGGGAAAAAAAAUAGAAUCAAAGAAAGGCUUCCAUAUGAAUAAGAAGUUAAGAGUUAAGUUCAAAAUAAAAU
rnacentral:lncRNA from 1 species